rnacentral:rRNA from 1 species
UACGUAGGGGGCUAGCGUUAUCCGGAAUUACUGGGCGUAAAGGGUGCGUAGGUGGUUUCUUAAGUCAGAGGUGAAAGGCUACGGCUCAACCGUAGUAAGCCUUUGAAACUGGUGGUCUUGAGUGGAUGAGAAGUACGCGGAAUGCGUGGUGUAGCGGUGAAAUGCAUAGAUAUCACGCAGAACUCCGAUUGCGAAGGCAGCGUACCGGCAUCCAACUGACGCUGAGGCACGAAAGCGUGGGGAUCAAACAGG